rnacentral:rRNA from 1 species
CGUGUAGGCGGCAAGGUGUGUCGGAUGUGAAAUCCCGUGGCUCAACCACGGAAGUGCACCCGAAACUACCUAGCUUGAGUCUCGGAGAGGAAGGUGGAAUGCUUGGUGUAGAGGUGAAAUUCGUAGAUAUCAAGCGGAACACCGGUGGCGAAGGCGGCCUUCUGGACGAUGACUGACGCUGAGACGCGAAAGCGUGGGAGCAAACA